AGAAAAACAUAAACAAAGUUUUCGCUAUAUUAAGCUAACGUGAUUUAAUCAACUAUUAAUUAUUAACUUUCGGAAUAAUAAUAGGUGUUAGGAGUGAAGAGGUGAAAAUUUCGGUGAUCCUAGUUGGUCUCGACACCUGUUCGUAGCACACUUUAACCGAAGAACCGGAUCGGACCGUAGUAGUAAAUAGGAUAAAUACCCUUUGAUUGAGGACUAUUGAAACACUGCGAUUGACCAUCCAGAGUAGUACCGUAACGUCACGUAGACUGGUACGGUGAUUGAUUGUGAGUAUCUGUAAAGAGAAGAAAUAAACAAGUAAAAUUAAUAGUCAAUGCGUUAAAUGAUAAUAAAAAUAACCGGAAACGGAGUAUACAGUAGAAAGAGUUCAGGAAGGACAAGUAUCGUAAGGAAGGAGGAGACU